AGUGAACGCUGGCGGUAGGCCUAACACAUGCAAGUCGAACGGCAGCACAGUAAGAGCUUGCUCUUACGGGUGGCGAGUGGCGGACGGGUGAGGAAUACAUCGGAAUCUACUUUUUCGUGGGGGAUAACGUAGGGAAACUUACGCUAAUACCGCAUACGACCUACGGGUGAAAGCAGGGGAUCUUCGGACCUUGCGCGAUUGAAUGAGCCGAUGUCGGAUUAGCUAGUUGGCGGGGUAAAGGCCCACCAAGGCAACGAUCCGUAGCUGGUCUGAGAGGAUGACCGCCAACACUGGAAAUGAGACACGGUCCAGACUCCUACGGGAGGCAGCAGUGGGGAAUAUGGAACAAGGGGCGCAGGCCUGACCCAGCAAUCCCGCGGGGGUGAAGAAGGCCUUCGGUUUGUAAACCCUUUUUGUGGGGAAAGAAAAGCAGCAUGGAAAUACCCCGCUGUCCGGAGGGUACCAAAAGAAUAAGCACCGGCUAACUUCGUG
rnacentral:rRNA from 1 species